UCUAGAACUCGAGAUAUGGGC
rnacentral:miRNA from 1 species